CAUUUUUGUUACGGGCAAACUCCCUUCGCCUCUUUGGUCAAUACCAUGCAAUUCUGAUGGUCUCUGUCCGUUACCUCUUAAGCAACGUGAUCCUCGUGGAAGGGCAAGUAUACUUUUCUCCCCAGGGAACACUCCCGCUUCGGAAAAGGGCUGAAUUCCCGACGCUACUUUCAGACUACGGAAGAGUCCCAGGGUCAAAGCGAACCAGCUCUUGCCUAGUUGUUCGGUGCGCCCAGAGGGGCGUUUCAGAGCUAUCUAUUGGAGUACAUAUUUGGAUUGAUUCAUAAAAACCUAGGAUGGGAGAAGAAGUUAAUGUGGGACAGAAAAAGCAUGAUAAAUCAGCUAACGCAUGAUUAGCUAUGAGCUGAUAAUUAUGAAGGAAGUGAAAUAUCAACAAAAGGAUCAUUCACUGUGGAGAUCUUGAAAAGGAAACAGAUUGAGAACUUCAGUUAGAAUUCUAGUAUAGACAUGUAAUUUAAUAAAGUAUCAAAUUGAGCUUCCCGAGGAACUUAAAUUUUAAGUUUAAAACAUGUUCCUGGAACGAAUAGUGACUUAAUUGGGAAUCACAGCACAUUGUUAAUCAAAAUAAGAUAUUUCCAAAUUUCAGUGAAUGUAAACCAGUUGAAGUUUAUAAUAAUGUCAAUAUGUCUAACCUAUAUAUUUAAAGGAACUUCAAAAUAAACUUGUGUU